UACAGAGGUGGCUAGCGUUGUUCGGAAUUACUGGGCGUAAAGCGCACGUAGGCGGCUUUGUAAGUUAGAGGUGAAAGCCCGGGGGCUCAACUCCGGAAUUGCCUUUAAGACUGCAUCGCUAGAAUUGUGGAGAGGUAAGUGGAAUUCCGAGUGUAGAGGUGAAAUUCGUAGAUAUUCGGAAGAACACCAGUGGCGAAGGCGACUCACUGGACAUGUAUUGACGCUGAGGUGCGAAAGCGUGGGGAGCAAACAGG
rnacentral:rRNA from 1 species